rnacentral:rRNA from 1 species
GCGCGAAAACUUUGCAAUGCGGGAAACCGUGACAAGGGAACUCCGAGUGCCCGUAAAUUCGGGCUGUCCGCCAGUUUAAAUAACUGGUGAAGAAAGGGCCGGGCAAGACCGGUGCCAGCCGCCGCGGUAAUACCGGCGGCUCGAGUGGUGGCCACUAUUACUGGGCUUAAAGCGUUCGUAGCUGGCUUGUUAAGUCUCUGGGGAAAUCUUCCGGCUUAACCGGAAGGCGUCUCAGGGAUACUGGCAGGCUAGGGACCGGUAGAGGUGAGGGGUACUCCAGGGGUAGGAGUGAAAUCCUGUAAUCCUUGGGGGACCACCUGUGGCGAAGGCGUCUCACCAGAACGGCUCCGACAGUGAGGAACGAAAGCUGGGGGAGCAAACCGG